GUUUUUUUUCCCCCCUUUUUAUUUUUUUUUAAUGGGAAAUAUGUUUGUGCUCUCAUUUUAUUACCCAAUCCCUGAUUCUACAACAAAUUCACAGGCAGAGGCGACUAACACUAUGGAUACUGGAUGUCAGAUUCGUCUAUCUCUCUGGUGACGUUAAAGGGAAAUAACCAGGAAGAAAGGGAAGAGUGGGCAAUAUGGCUCCAUCCAGGUUUAAUUUUCCAUAAAGCUACAGGUCUCCCAGGUGCACAAAAGGAUUAAUAUUUUUGGAGGCAGAGCAGAAAAUGAAGAUUGAAGUGUCGUGGUGUGCUUGUUUCGGCAUGUCUGGAAGGAAUACCAUUGUCAAGAAGUCUCAAAUUUUCCUUUUCUCAAUGGGAAAAUUUUUCUGAGCCUUCAGCUGGUCCUUGCCCAUUCUGGAAGAGUGCUUGGAGGAUCUCUUUCUUCAUGAUUUACAGUCUAAUCAGAACCCUUAAAAAUUAUUUUUGUGGUGACAAGGAGUGCAAGGACUCCUCUUCAGGCCAAGUCCAUGAAGCACAUAAGGAGGUGCAUGACUCUCACUGCUUAAACCCAGCUGUGUUCUUCAACACCUUGCUGAAUUAGAUCCUUAAUCAUCAUCACCAUCAGUAGCUACUGCUUGCAUGUUAUCCCUGCAAAAUGUGAGUUUUUAAAUAUGCAGCGCUGGGACUUUGUGCUGGUCAGCAAAGCAACCAUGCUGGAUGAUGUUCCCUGCUCUCUGCAUACACAUGGUUUAAAAUUAUUGCAGCAGCUCCAGUACUUAAUUCUUUUGCCAGUGAGCACCUGCACUGUACAUGUGGGAUUCUAAUCUUCACAUGCGAGAUGGCCUUGAAUAAUUUCUGUGGGUUUUAUAGGUAAAUCUGUGGUGAUCAAACUACUGUAAAGAGAGACCUGUACGAACCCAUAAUUUCCCCCCUUGUUUCAAACAUAUAAUCUAAGGUUUCCCUUGUGGGUGGCCCUUCUUUCUUUUGUGCCAUGGUAAUUUCUUCAUAGGUGG
rnacentral:lncRNA from 1 species